CCUACGGGAGGCUGCAGUGGGGGAUAUUGGACAAUGGGGGGAACCCUGAUCCAGCGACGCCGCGUGAGUGAAGAAGUAUUUCGGUAUGUAAAGCUCUGUCAGCAGGGAAGAAAGAAAUGACGGUACCUGACCAAGAAGCCCCGGCUACCUACGUGCCAGCAGCCGCGGUAAUACGGAGGGGGCAAGCGUUAUCCGGAAUUACGGGGUGUAAAGGGAGCGUGGACGGUUAAGUAAGUCUGGAGUGAAAGGCCGGGGCCCAACCCCGGGACUGCUCUGGAAACUAUUGAACUUGAGUGCAGGAGAGGUAAGCGGAAUUCCUAGUGUAGCGGUGAAAUGCGUAGAUAUUAGGAGGAACACCAGUGGCGAAGGCGGCUUACUGGACUGUAACUGACGUUGAGGCUCGAAAGCGUGGGGAGCAAACAGGAUUAGAUACCCCAGUAGUC
rnacentral:rRNA from 1 species